rnacentral:rRNA from 1 species
AUGAGAGGAAAUCAGCGAAAUCCCCCACGCCGCCUACUGUGCCGGGCACAGGAUGGAUUAGACGUCAGAGGUAACCCUCUCAAUACAAGAACAUGCAACGAUAUACAUAUCGAUUUUUGCAUUGAUUUCCUCCGUGCUAAUCACGCCUAUAUAUCAAAGAAAUAUUACGCAUUAAAGUUUUGUAGUAAAGACAUAAUAUUAACCAGAUGGAUGGUCAUUAUUCAGGCGUAUGUUUCUAUAGUAGUAUCUUUGUCAGUCACACUGAAAUCUGAUAGAGUUACCCUAGUUUUUUGUCGUACAGAAAUACUUUUCAGAUCAAAGUAG